AUUUCAGAUUACAGUACGCUCGCUAGCAUCUGUUCGCGCCAGGACUGUUUGACUGAGUGGGAGAGACUGCUUGAAUACAUUGAAGUUCCAGGUAGGCGUGGGAGUCCUUGCUGUACUACCACCAGACUGUAAAUAUACUGGAAUCAAAACUGAGAGGACUGUGGAGACAGACUAGGACAGGAAGAGUGAGCGUCAUUCGCUACAGAGGUCAACUACAGUCCGUAACAGAAAGCAUUUAUCUAGUGAAGGAUAACACAAAGACUAACUAAACGAACAGUGCAGAGAACACACAAGGUCAUGUCCAAACCAUUGGAGAAAUGUAUUGCUACAGAUUGUCUGACAAGUGUUCUUGCAACAGCUUCAAAUGUACUGAGACAACAUGACAGAGAACAGCUCAGAUGGCUACUAAGCUGUGCUCUGUCAAGAGUCGAAAGUCUCCAUAACCAAUGCAUUGAAAAGUCUCCUCAAGUAGCCACUUGGUGCUCACAUCAAUUAAAUAUCCACUUCUUAUCUCCUGCAUUAGUUGUGUCACUAGCCUUUGUUGCAGACACGUUGACACGUGCAGAUGAAAUAAAUUCCUGACAAAGUGUGGAAUCCAAGUUCCUGUUGAUAUCAGUUGGCCAAAGUGUCCCCCUGAUUUCUUGUCAUCCAACUCCAGGUUACAGUUUUACUUUCAUCA